rnacentral:tRNA from 1 species
GCAUUCGUGGUGUAGUGGUCAGCACGCUGGACGCGUAUGCUAGAGGUCCAUGGUUCGAGUCCCGGCGAAGGUG